rnacentral:tRNA from 1 species
GGAGAGGUGGCCGAGUGGUUGAUGGCACUGGUCUUGAAAACCAGAACCGUCGCAAGGCGGUCGCGGGUUCGAAUCCUGCCCUCUCCGCCA